GAGGGUAUAGCUCAGUAGUAGAGUGCAUGCCUAGCAUGCACGAAGCCCUGGGUUCGAUCCGCAGUACCUCCA
rnacentral:tRNA from 1 species